GUAUCAAGACGAUGCAUGAUCACGGCUCUCUACGCUAUUUUGGAUUGACUACAAAUUAUUAACAAAAUUUAAUUGUUGAGUUUUACGCAUUGACUAUGUAUUUAUACAUAUUUUUAUAUAAAAUUACAAAACAAUAUGUUUGACACACAUUAAAGAGUUAAAGGGUUAAAAAUGAUAUAUUUCAGAAAGGUUUCAUUUAUAUAUCUCUAAAAUGUUCUAAAGUUACAUAAGUUUCGACAUGCUGAUUAGCUGCUUGGCUUGAAUGUAUUUGGCGGUCGGAAUACAACUGCACUCGAUUUGUGAAAAAGGCAAAAACGUUUUGUUGCAAGGGGGAUAACUUGAUAUACACGUACAGCUGUAUUCUGACCAGCUAUGAUUAGUUCAACUAUAUAUGACUGUUUCAUUACAGGGGUGAUUUAAUUAAGGAUAGCUUAAUAUAUUUACGACAAAUAAUCGUUACAAUAUAAUUGUACACAUUAAUCUACUAAUUCAAAACUUGUGCUAAAAAAAUUACAAUACUUGCCUUUUGCUCAUACUCACAAUAAUUAAGAACACCCCCCCCCCCCCCAAAAAAAAAUUCCUCUCCUAUAUUUAAAAAGAAAACCAAAACAACUUAUCCCAUCUUUCUCCCUCUAGGAUUGCAAUAUUAAUGCAUUAUAUAGUAACAUAUAAUACACUUUGUUUUUUACAUUCUACGUGUAUUUUUUUCCCAAUUGUGUUAUUACAUUUCAUGAGUGAACUUUAAAGUUUGUCAAUAAAUCAUAACCA
rnacentral:sRNA from 1 species